rnacentral:rRNA from 1 species
CUGGAAUGGGUAAUGACUUAAAUCUAUAUGGCCCCUGGAUUGGACUGCGGCCGAUCAGGCUGUUGGUGAGGUAAUGGCCCACCAAACCUGUAACCGGUACGGGCUCUGAGAGGAGGAGCCCGGAGAUGGGCACUGAGACAAGGGCCCAGGCCCUAUGGGGCGCAGCAGGCGCGAAACCUCUGCAAUAGGCGAAAGCCUGACAGGGUUACUCUGAGUGAUUUCCGUUAAGGAGAUCUUUUGGCACCUCUAAAAAUGGCGCAGAAUAAGGGGUGGGCAAGUCUGGUGUCAGCCGCCGCGGUAAUACCAGCACCCCGAGUGGUCGGGACGUUUAUUGGGCCUAAAGCAUCCGUAGCCGGUUCUGCAAGUCUUCCGUUAAAUCCACCUGCUUAACAGAUGGGCCGCGGAAGAUACUAUAGAGCUAGGAGGCGGGAGAGGCAAGCGGUACUCGAUGGGUAGGGGUAAAAUCCGUUGAUCCAUUGAAGACCACCAGUGGCGAAGGCGGCUUGCCAGAACGCGCUCGACGGUGAGGGAUGAAAGCUGGGGGAGCAAACCGGAUUAGAUACCCGGGUAGUCCCAGCUGUAAACGAUGCAGACUCGGUGAUGAAUUGGCUUCAUGCCAAUUCAGUGCCGCAGGGAAGCCGUUAAGUUUGCCGCCUGGGGAGUACGGUCGCAAGACUGAAACUUGAAGGAAUUGGCGGGGGAGCACCACAAGGGGCGAAGCCUGCGGUUCAAUUGGACUCAACGCCGGU